AAUCCGUGGUGAAGGCAAUGUCGAAUCAAAUCUUUAUACAUUUUCCAUGCUUCAUAGAGUAACUCGGAAUCAUUUUGCUUGAAUUGACUAAUCUCACUCCUAAGUUU